AAUAGCCAAAAUUUUCACGGACACACAUAGUACUUUGGAAUAAGUAGACAUUAAAAGAAUGUACACAUUUUUUUUAAUCCCAUAGAAGGUGAAAGUCCUGUAUGUGAUGAAAGUGAAAGUGUUAGUAAGUAAUAUGAGGACGUCAGCCUUGUAUGAAUAAGGGGGUACCAUCCUCCAAGGCUAAGUAUAACAUAUCUAGCGAUAGUGAAGAGUAACGUGAGUGAAAGGUGAAAAGUAAGUAGAUGACUAGUGAAAUAGAACCUGAACUAGUAAUCCUAUAAGCAGUUGGAGUUUUAGUAAAAAAUGACAACGUACCUUUUGCAUAAUGGGUCAGCGAGUUAGUUUAUAGAGCAAGAUGAAUAAUCUAAGCGAAAGCGACUAUAAUAAGUGGAUCAAAAAUAGUUUUAUGAACUAGACCCGAAGCCAAAUGAUCUUACCAUGGCCAGGCUAAAAAAGGGCCGAACAGGUGAAUGUUGCAAAAUUCUCUGAUGAGCUGUGGUAAGGGGUGAAAGGCCAAUCUAAUUUGGAUGAUAGCUGGUAUUCUGCGAAACCUAUUUAGGUAGGGCCUUUAUUUACACUUUUAUAUGUACAGCACUGAUCAUCAUACAUUAGCCAGAUAUAGCGUUAGCGCAUUAUCACUAUGUUAAAUUGGGGGGUCUCACAACCCUACCAUUGAUGGUUAACCUCGGAAGGAUAAUAGUGAAUGAUAAGGGCACAGUCUAUUCAUGAUAAGGUGGAUAGACAAAAGGGAAACAGCCCAGAGCACGUGUUAAGGUCCCAAAAUAUUGUUAAGUGAAUAUAAGAAAGUUUAACUCCUAAUACAACCAUGAAGUAGGCUUGGAGGUAGCCAUCUUUUAAUGAUAGUGUAACAACUCAGUGGUCUAAUUUGAGGAGAGAAGCGUCGAAAAUUAACGGGUCUUAGACAAUAUACCUACACCGUGACUAUUUAUAAUAUAUUUCUUUAUUAUAAGUAAGGGUAGCAGAACACUCAGUAUCUGAUUGAAGGAAAAUGUUUCAUUUUCUGGACAGUACUGAAGAGAAAAUGCUGACAUGAGUAACGUAGAAAGGAGUUAAAACACUCCUCGCCGAAUACGAGAGGGUUUCAUGGAGAAGUUAAUCUGCCAUGAGUUAUACGGACUCUAAGGAUUAUAGGCGAACGUCUAUAUCUGAUGAGAAUUAUUACAAUUGCACCGAAUUGUCUAUAUAUAAUAACCAUUUCUCUGUACGAAAAUUUACAGAGUAGUUUCUACUAACUAUUUAGUUAGUAGGAUGAAUGGCUAGAUCAAGAAAAAUAGGUGUCACUAGAUUUAUAGUGAAUCCGUACCCUAAACCGACACAGGUUCGUAGGUAGAGAAUACUAAGGCGUAGAGAUAAUGCUUGUGAAGGAACUCGGCAAAUUGUGCCCGUAAGUUAGACGAUAAGGGUAACCAGAAUAAAUAAUAUAGAAAAUUCUGAGUGUCACAAAAUCGAGGGCUGCGACUGUUUACCAAAAACACAGCAACUUGCUAAGACGAAUAGUACUUGUAUAAGUUGUGAACUCUGCCCAAUGCCAUGUCGUGUAAAGAAGGUGAUCUAGUUCGUAUUUUACUAACUAGAGUCACUAACUGAUGCCAUGGUGAAUGGCGGUCUUAACUAUAAGGAUCUGAAAGUAGCGAAAUUCCUUGGCCAUUAAAUGUGGUCCUGCAUGAAUGAGGUAACGUGGCCCUGCUGUCUCCACAAGCAUCUCAGUGAAAUUGAAUUAGCCGUGCAGAUGCGGUUUACCUUCAGUUAGACGGGAAGACCCUAUGCAGCUUUACUGUAGCUUGAUAUUGUUUCUUCUAUAGCUAGGUGUAGUAUACAAGGGAGUAGAUAUUCUUCUACGUCAGUGAAAUACCUUGACUAGUCUAAAGAAGAAACUUACCUAACACUACUAAUAACUAGUUACUUAUGAGAAUGCCAUAAUUUUCUGGUUAAUUCUCUAGAAUCUUUUUAGUAAGUUUCUAAGACAACCGUUUUAUAUAAAUAGAAAUCUUUUUAUAAAACGGUCUAUAGGUAAUUGAGAAAUUAGUUAGUCUGGGAAAAUAUCAGGUGGUCAGUUUGACUGGGACGGUAGCCUCUAAUAAAGUAUCAGAGGCCUUCAAAGGUAUGCAUAUAUUGGUCAGAAACCAAUGAACUAUGUAAAGUUUACUAAAGCGUAAUAGUAUAAGCAUGCUUGACUGAAAGACUGAUAGGUCGAUCAGAUACGCAAGUAGGAUAUAGUGAUCCGGUGAUUCAUAAUGGAAUGGUCAUCGCUCAAGAAAUAAAAGUUACGCUAGGGAUAACAGGUUUAUCGUUUGCGAGAGUUCAUAUUGUCCAAACGGUUUGACACCUCGAUGUCGACUCAUCUCAUCCUCCAGGUGUAGUAGCUUGGAAGGGUUCAGCUGUUCGCUGAUUAAAGAGGUACGCGAGUUGGGUUCAAUACGACGUGAGUCAGUAUGGUCCCUAUCUUCUGAAGGAAAAAGUAAUCAAUUAAGGACCUCCGGUUAGUACGAAAGGACCGCUGGGGAUGAUUCCAUGGUGUACCUAUUGUUAAAUCUAUUUUUAGACAUAGCACCGUAGGGUAGCCACAAUCAUGACAGAUAAGCGCUGAAAGCAUCUUAAGCACGAAGCACACCUUAUUAGAUUACAAGAAAUAAGAAGAAGACUACUUCUUAAUUAAUAGGGUGCAAAUGUAAGUAUAGUAAUAUAUUCAGUUUAGCACUACUAAUUUAUUGAUUUACUUAAUCGU
rnacentral:rRNA from 1 species